rnacentral:rRNA from 1 species
AGUGAACGCUGGCGGUAGGCCUAACACAUGCAAGUCGAACGGCAGCACAGUAAGAGCUUGCUCUUACGGGUGGCGAGUGGCGGACGGGUGAGGAAUACAUUGGAAUCUACUUUUUUGUGGGGGAUAACGUAGGGAAACUUACGCUAAUACCGCAUACGACCUACGGGUGAAAGCAGGGGAUCUUCGGACCUUGCGCGAUUGAAUGAGCCGAUGUCGGAUUAGCUAGUUGGCGGGGUAAAGGCCCACCAAGGCGACGAUCCGUAGCUGGUCUGAGAGGAUGAUCAGCCGCACUGGAACUGAGACACGGUCCAGACUCCUACGGGAGGCAGCAGUGGGGAAUAUUGGACAAAGGGCGCAAGCCUGAUCCAGCCAUACCGCGUGGGUGAAGAAGGCCUUCGGGUUGUAAAGCCCUUUUGUUGGGAAAGAAAAGCAGCAGGUUAAUACCCCGCUGUUCUGACGGUACCCAAAGAAUAAGCACCGGCUAACUUCGUG